rnacentral:rRNA from 1 species
CACGUAGGGGGCAAGCGUUUUCCGGAAUUACUGGGCGUAAAGCGCGCGUAGGCGGCCUAAUAAGUCAGGGGUGAAAACCGGCGGCUCAACCGCAGGCUGGCGUCUGAAACUGUAAGGCUUGAGGACCAGAGAGGGGAGUGGAAUUCCCGGUGUAGCGGGGAAAUGCGUAGAUAUUGGGAGGAACACCGGUGGCGAAGGCGGCCCCCUGGCUGGCUACUGACGCUGAGACGCGAAAUCGUGGGGAGCAAACAGG